GAUGAACGCUGGCGGCGUGCCUAAUACAUGCAAGUCGAGCGAACAGACGAGGAGCUUGCUCCUCUGACGUUAGCGGCGGACGGGUGAGUAACACGUGGAUAACCUACCUAUAAGACUGGGAUAACUUCGGGAAACCGGAGCUAAUACCGGAUAAUAUAUUGAACCGCAUGGUUCAAUAGUGAAAGACGGUUUUGCUGUCACUUAUAGAUGGAUCCGCGCCGCAUUAGCUAGUUGGUAAGGUAACGGCUUACCAAGGCGACGAUGCGUAGCCGACCUGAGAGGGUGGUCGGCCACACGAGAACGGGAACACGGUCCAGGCUCCUGCGGGAGGCAGCAGUAGGGAAUCGGCCGCAAUGGGCGAAAGCCUGACGGAGCAACGCCGCGUGAGUGAUGAAGGUCUUCGGAUCGUAAAACUCUGUUAUGAGGGAAGAACAAAUGUGUAAGUAACUAUGCACGUCUUGACGGUACCUAAUCAGAAAGCCACGGCUAACUACGUG
rnacentral:rRNA from 1 species